rnacentral:rRNA from 1 species
GACGAACGCUGGCGGCGUGCUUAACACAUGCAAGUCGAGCGGAUGACGGGAGCUUGCUCCUUGAUUCAGCGGCGGACGGGUGAGUAAUGCCUAGGAAUCUGCCUGGUAGUGGGGGACAACGUUUCGAAAGGAACGCUAAUACCGCAUACGUCCUACGGGAGAAAGCAGGGGACCUUCGGGCCUUGCGCUAUCAGAUGAGCCUAGGUCGGAUUAGCUAGUAGGUGAGGUAAUGGCUCACCUAGGCGACGAUCCGUAACUGGUCUGAGAGGAUGAUCAGUCACACUGGAACUGAGACACGGUCCAGACUCCUACGGGAGGCAGCAGUGGGGAAUAUUGGACAAUGGGCGAAAGCCUGAUCCAGCCAUGCCGCGUGUGUGAAGAAGGUCUUCGGAUUGUAAAGCACUUUAAGUAGGGAGGAAGGGCAGUAAGUUAAUACCUUGCUGUUUUGACGUUACCGACAGAAUAAGCACCGGCUAACUCUGUGCCAGCCGCCGCUGUAA